rnacentral:lncRNA from 1 species
UUUUUAGCCAUUGAAUUAAAGAAUGUGCGGUUAGAAUAGUGUGAGACCCUAGGGUUUAGUGGGUGGUUGGUUGGAUAGUAUGAUUUAACAGAUGAAAAUGAUCAAAAGAAUAGAUAUAUUAGUAAAUAAUUUACAAGCACCAAGUAGUUGGUGUUUUUACAAACACUAAAACAAAAUUGUCUUUUAGACAUAAUUUAAUAAUGUCGAUUAUUGAACAGCCACUAUUAUUUAUUAUUUAAUUGUACUUUAGCAACAAUUAUUUUAAACUACGUAUCUUUACCGACUAAUAUUUAUAUAUUAAAUAUAUUUACUUUGAGCACUAAUUCAAUCCUAACCCAAACCCUUACCCUCAUCCUCACCUU